UACGGAGGGUGCAAGCGUUAUCCGGAUUCACUGGGCGUAAAGUGUGCGCAGGCGGCCGCGCAAGUCGAGUGUGAAAGCCCCGGGCUUAACUUGGGAAUUGCGCUCGAAACUACGUGGCUGGAGUGUGGCAGAGGAAGGUGGAAUUCCAGGUGUAGCGGUGAAAUGCGUAGAGAUCUGGAGGAACACCGAUGGCGAAGGCAGCCUUCUGGGCCAACACUGACGCUCAUGCACGAAAGCGUGGGGAGCAAACAGG
rnacentral:rRNA from 1 species